rnacentral:rRNA from 1 species
UGAUCCUAACUGGCAGUUCGACCGAGAGAACCUUCGGGUCCUCUAGUGGGCGAACGGGUGAGUAACACGUAGGGAACCCGCCCGCGCACCGGGAAUACGCUCUGGAAACGGAGAACAAAUCCCGAUGUACAGGAAGGAGGCAUCUUCUUCUCUGUGAAACAUCCUUUAGGGGAUGGGGCGCGGAUGGACCUGCGGUGCAUUAGUUGGUUGGCGGGGUAAAGGCCCACCAAGACGAUGAUGCAUAGCCGGCCUGAGAGGGCGGACGGCCACAUUGGGACUGAGACACGGCCCAGACUCCUGCGGGAGGCAGCAGUAGGGAAUUUUCGUCAAUGGGCGCAAGCCUGAACGAGCGAUGCCGCGUGAGUGAAGAAGGCCUUCGGGUCGUAAAGCUCUGUUGCGGGGGAAAAAAGGCAGCAUCAGGAAAUGGGUGCUGACUGAUGGUGCCCCGCCAGAAAGUCACGGCUAACUACGUGCCAGCAGCCGCGGUAAUACGUAGGUGGCGAGCGUUAUCCGGAAUGAUUGGGCGUAAAGGGUGCGCAGGCGGUCCUGCAAGUCUGGAGUGAAACGCAUGAGCUCAACUCAUGCAUGGCUUUGGAAACUGGAGGACUGGAGAGCAGGAGAGGGCGGUGGAACUCCAUGUGUAGCGGUAAAAUGCGUAGAUAUAUGGAAGAACACCAGUGGCGAAGGCGGCCGCCUGGCCUGUUGCUGACGCUGAGGCACGAAAGCGUGGGGAGCAAAUAGGAUUAGAUA